UCUUGGAGUGGAAUGUGAACAAAGCAUUGCCAAGGUGAUACUGGUCUCGGAUAUCAGGAACCGGUCCUUUUUCCGGCAGUGGAAGAUUAAACACUCACAAAACGGAAGAAAGCACAGAAAGUAUGGAUCUGUUUCGUGUUUACAAGCAUGGAGGAAUAGAAGGAAUCGAUUUGAAGAGUGUAUUUCUGAACUGGAGAGAAAUUCAGGCAGUUAUCAUCCAUCACUAGAGAAGAAUGACAGAUGGAGAGAUGAUUUUGAAAAUAAACCAUCCCUUCUAAAUUUU